GGUCUGGCGGCGUAGUGGUUAACGCGUUUUGCUUUACGUACGGUUGGUACUACAAAGUUUAGCAGGAGUCCCUCGUUCGAUUCGAGGUCAGGCCA